rnacentral:rRNA from 1 species
UACGAGGGGGGCAAGCGUUGUUCGGAAUUAUUGGGCGUAAAGGGUGCGUAGGCGGUUUGACAAGUCAGGGGUGAAAGCCCAGAGCUCAACUCCGGAACUGCCAUUGAAACUGUUUAGCUUGAGGAUGAGAGAGGUGAGUGGAAUUCCCAGUGUAGAGGUGAAAUUCGUAGAGAUGCGGAGGAACACCGAUGGCGAAGGCAAUCCCCUGGACCUGUACUGACGCUCAUGCACGAAAGCGUGGGGAGCAAACAGG